rnacentral:rRNA from 1 species
UACGUAGGGUGCGAGCGUUGUCCGGAAUUACUGGGCGUAAAGAGCUCGUAGGUGGUUUGUCGCGUUGUUCGUGAAAACUCACAGCUUAACUGUGGGCGUGCGGGCGAUACGGGCAGACUUGAGUACUGCAGGGGAGACUGGAAUUCCUGGUGUAGCGGUGGAAUGCGCAGAUAUCAGGAGGAACACCAGUGGCGAAGGCGGGUCUCUGGGCAGUAACUGACGCUGAGGAGCGAAAGCGUGGGGAGCGAACAGG